CUACCAAGCACAUAAACCCGGGUGGAAAACUGGCCAUUCUGCGCCCCUCCCCAGCCGAACCCUCUGUCUCCUUGUCACAAACCACUGCACUGACUGUUUCCAAAUAAAUCACCAAUUCUAGCCUGCAAGGUGUGCUUCCUGAAAAGAUGCCAAAAAAAAAAAAAAAACAACCCUAGCCCUCUGAUUUCCCCGCCUGGCCCCAGAUGCGGCUUCCUUUAAAAAGAACAAAACCAAGCUUUGCAAAUCCUCUCCGGCCUCUUUCACAAAGGGCUUUCUUGGUCUCUAAUCAAGCCACACUAUCUACAGCUAAGAAGAAUUUUGCCUCCUUCUUUCGCUGGUAUUAUCCCUCUGCUUGCUGUUGGAAUUCCUUUGACUAG
rnacentral:lncRNA from 1 species